GAUGAACGCUGGCGGCGUGCCUAAUACAUGCAAGUCGAGCGAACGGACGAGAAGCUUGCUUCUCUGAUGUUAGCGGCGGACGGGUGAGUAACACGUGGAUAACCUACCUAUAAGACUGGGAUAACUUCGGGAAACCGUAGCUAAUACCGGAUAAUAUUUUGAACCGCAUGGUUCAAAAGUGAAACACGGUCUUGCUGUCACUUAUAGAUGGAUCCGCGCUGCAUUAGCUAGUUGGUAAGGUAACGGCUUACCAAGGCAACGAUGCAUAGCCGACCUGAGAGGGUGAUCGGCCACACUGGAACUGAGACACGGUCCAGACUCCUACGGGAGGCAGCAGUAGGGAAUCUUCCGCAAUGGGCGAAAGCCUGACGGAGCAACGCCGCGUGAGUGAUGAAGGUCUUCGGAUCGUAAAACUCUGUUAUUAGGGAAGAACAUAUGUGUAAGUAACUGUGCACAUCUUGACGGUACCUAAUCAGAAAGCCACGGCUAACUACGUG
rnacentral:rRNA from 1 species